rnacentral:rRNA from 1 species
ACGAACGCUGGCGGCGUGCUUAACACAUGCAAGUCGAACGGAAAGGCCCUGCUUUUAUGGGGUGCUCGAGUGGCGAACGGGUGAGUAACACGUGAGUAACCUGCCCUUGACUUUGGGAUAACUUCAGGAAACUGGGGCUAAUACCGGAUAGGAGCUCCUGCUGCAUGGUGGGGGUUGGAAAGUUUCGGCGGUUGGGGAUGGACUCGCGGCUUAUCAGCUUGUUGGUGGGGUAGUGGCUUACCAAGGCUUUGACGGGUAGCCGGCCUGAGAGGGUGGCCGGCCACAUUGGGACUGAGAUACGGCCCAGACUCCUACGGGAGGCAGCAGUGGGGAAUAUUGCACAAUGGGCGGAAGCCUGAUGCAGCAACGCCGCGUGCGGGAUGACGGCCUUCGGGUUGUAAACCGCUUUCGCCUGUGACGAAGCGUGAGUGACGGUAAUGGGUAAAGAAGCACCGGCUAACUACGUG